rnacentral:rRNA from 1 species
GUCUAUGGUCAUACCACUCUGAAUGUGCCCUAUCUCUUCUGAUCUUGUGAAGCUAAGCAGGGUCAGGCCUGGUUAGUACUUGGAUGGGAGACUAUGGUGAAGAAGCUGAGCCAGGAUU